ensembl:lncRNA
UGGCAUUACUAAAAAUCUCCUCCGUUGCAGUCCUGGAGUUUCCUGGAGGGGCUGAUUAAUGUUGGAUGGAGUCACUUGUUUGUGUCAACGGGUCAGAAGAACUUGAAGUUUCAUGAUUCUGGUUUGAUGUUCGAAUGGAGAGUCUGAUUCAGCGUUAAACGUGCCCCCCCCGGCAAGACCGCCCCCUCGAUACAAAAAUAAUCAUCCGUUUCUUGAUACUUCUGUUGACUCGCAAGCUGUUUGUCAGUCACACUCUAAGACAAAUGCACAAACAUGGGUGUGAUCGCACACAACCCAUGAGGGCUGACGCGAAGGCGCACGCACGCGCAGGCCUUGUAACACAUUCACAAAAUGCUGCGCUGUGAAUACUUUCCGGAUGCACUGUACACGGCAGGGUUUUUUUCAUGCCAGGUUUUAGGGGUGAGCGAAAGAGCACACUGCAAAUAUUCACUGACUUUCACUUAAAACCAGCCCUCUGUUUGCAUGAACAUAUUGCACCUGUUGCCUCUUUGUUUCUGUUCCUCUUGGGCUUUGCUUCAGUUGUCUUUCCUCCUCUGCAUCACAUCUGGUUAUUUGGGGCUGGGUACUUCAAAGCGCUUUUUUGCUGCUCACUGAGCAGCAAGAGAGCUGCGCCUCUGUGAAAUAUUGUAGGCCCUCACAGCAGCUUUGUGUUUUAGCAGGUAGGAGGAGCUGUGGUUUACUGAGCCGCUCGGCCUGAGGAGGUCUGUAGAUCGGAGAGACGGGGGAAACCGCUUAUGUUGUUUGGUUUGGACUCAAGUUUAAUGCAGGGAUCCCUUGCCCCAUCUCGAGCUAAAAAUGCGUGUGCACGUUGCAUGCAUUAGAAGGGAAUACCGUCCGUUUUUAAGGAAAAAUAAUUUUAGGGAAGGCAGCGGUGAGAAAGACAAUGAUGUAGGGGGAGUUGGUGCUCCUUGAGAUGGAUGCUUGUCAUCUUCAUGCUUCAUCUCUGUGAAAGAGCAAUAAUCAAGGGCCUGCACAUGGUGUUAAAUUGGAUUUUUAUGGCAGCACUUGAAAUAAUAAUUAAAAGUCUGAUACAAAGCGUGGCCCAGGUAAGAGUUUAAAUAGGAGAGAUGCUUUCUGAAUAGCUUUCUUUUGUCAAGGUUAGAAGAAGUGGGAACACUCAACGUGAAUGUUCCCAUCUGGGUCAUUGGACGUAAUUGCUCUUAAUAAGAUUAUAUUAAACACUGAGCUUGAAGGUUUAUUAUUGACCUUCACAAAAAUAAUUACAAGCAUGUGGUAACUAAUUGGGAUUGUUUUUCAGCUUGUGGCCUUUAUCAGUAGGUGAAGUUUCUUAGACAUGAUAUUCCUCCACAUGUCACAAUUAUAUUGGGGAAUAUUAAUAUCCAAUGUCUGACAUUCCAGUUUUAUCGACUGUACACUCUCCAUGACAACUAAGCUACAUAUGCAGAUGACAGCAAAAUGGUGUCCUUAAAAUAUCCCCCAAAAUACCUCAACCAUAUGCAAAGAAUUGUUUUUGUGAUAUUUCUAAAAUGUUUGAUAUAAAGAAAGGAACCUUCGGUGUAUUCUUCAGAACAAACUAUUCUGAGAGUCGAUCCCUUUGAUAAACUGUCAGCAAGUCGAGGAUUGCAUCUUCAUUUUUGUUAUCACACAGGUGUCUUCUGCGCUGCCUAGAAUGAUAACGUGUCUACCUUGGUUGAACCCAACAAUGGCAUCUAAUAUUUGUAAUGCUAAGCUUGGCUCUACUUCCCUGCCAGAUGUUUGUUUUAUCCAUUGCAUUAGCCGUAGUUGGCGUAAAAACAUUGUUUUUUGCUUUGGGGAAAACCAAUGUUUAUUAGUCAGUCAGCCUAUUAUGAAAACGGUCCCAAAUUGUGCCAAAGGCCAAUUAGCACAAAAAUAAACCUUCUAUUCUCGAUGUCAGCCGUGUAUUUAUCUAAGGAUAAGCGGUUUAGAAGAUUAUACUGACUAUACUGUAAGUUGUUUUUUCAGAGAACUGACUGUGCAUUAAAAAUAGUCUUCAUAAAAUGUCAUCUGUACUUGCAUUAUUUCACAUUUUAUCUACUAAAGUAGCAAAACUACAUUAUCAUCAACGUGCUAAAAUUAGCAUACAAAAGGGACAUUCACAUAGUCUGCAUUCCAACUUUGAAGCUUUAAAUGGAGAUAAAUGACAAACAUUCAGCUACCUUUGCAUUCACAGCCAAUAUUUUGAUGUUUUGAACUGAAAAAUAAAAUCAGUCUCCCUUUAGUUCAGCAGAUUUGGAUAGGAAUUUAAGUAGGCCCUUGUAGUGUUUCAUCACGAGCCCAGCAUCACACCAAAGACGAGUUUGGAAUAAUACUGGCCUGCACUCAAGUAAAACCAGAACACCGGGUGCUGCAAUCACAAAUAGAUAAGAGAAGUGGAGUGGUCUGGUGUCAUGAAAUGCUUGGGUGAGAAAAAGCAAGACGAAGAAGAAAAGAUGUGGGAAAGAGACUUCACAACCGGAGAAAGUUCACAGGGAGAGAGUACAUCUCGGAAACAAAAGAGGGGGGAAAAAAAAGCCUGUGGCAAGGAUCUAGAAGGGGAGCGGAGAUAUUUUUCCCUAUCGGAUGACACUCGGAUCUACUUCAGUCAUUUGUCAGCCACACAGGCAGAAGGGCUGGCUAAUGGAUUGGGAAGGCAUGAGAGACACAAGCCCAGGGAAUCCCUCCGUUGUUAUCUGCAGCCGACAUUAUCAGACCUACUUUACUGAGAGUUGGCUGACAACGGAGCAGGAACCAGGAAUGGCCGUGCAGCCCGGGCCGAUGGAGACCAUGCCAUCAACGCCAGGGUUAGAGGGAACAAAGGAUUACUGUAAUCUCAUGGUUGGGAAUGGGCAGCUUCCAUAUUUUAAGGGUGUGAAACCUGACGAAAUUUGUGUUGAAGAAAACAAAUAACAGUCAGAUUGGGCUGUGUUUAUCUACUAAAGUAGCAAAACUACAUUAUGUUAUUAUUAUUAUGUUGUACCGAACCAGAAUUCUGUUUUAAAAUAAGAGAAAUAACUUUCUCUAUUAUUGCUCUGAUAGCUUCCAUGACAAGCUGCAGUUGAGUAUUAACUUGUUACUCAAAAUAACAUUGGUUCCAACAGAUGUACACUUCAGAACUCACCUGGAGUCAUAAAACACAUGUGUGCCAUGUCUGUCAAAAUGCUUACAAUGCAUUGCAUCUCUUUUUACGCACUGCAGCAUUAUAAUGACAAGCACAUGAGAACAAUUCCUGCUCUGCCUCCACCCCUCCAUCAUCUCCUGCUUGCCCUCUCCGCCCGCGCAUCUCCCGUGGGAGGGACUAGUACACAGGCAAGGAGGCGAGGAAGGGAACCGUAGAGGCUGAAAAUAAGAGAAAUGAGACGUUCGCUUUGACUGUGUAAAAUGCAAAUCUGCAAGCCUUGAAUUGAGAUUGACAAACGAAUAUGCGAUUGACAAAUAAAAGCUCAAUUUAGAGAUCUCCUCAAAAGAUUUACCCGUAGUUUAAAUAAAUGAUAAAAAAAUAUAUAUUUACAACUUUUUUGUAUUGUACACAUUUACACAAGGAUUCCCCUUUUCCAACUAAUGCGACUUGAUACCGAUGCAUUAUCGGGACAUCCCUAACCUUUACCACAUCCUCCUGUCGCACGACUGUGCCUGAGCUACGUCAGUUCACUACUCGUAACAAAGCAAAGGCCGUCUUCCCUUCUAUUUGCGCUAUGCUACUCUAGUGUCGAGUUGGAUAACAUGGAUGUAGGAUGACAGAAUAAUAUUGUCUUGAAGUUUUACAGGUCUGCCAUGAAUGUGUGGCUUCACUUCACAGACUAAGCGCGAACAUGGCUGCUCAGUGGAUAUGCUCAAAGACUACCAUGUGGAUUGAUUGCACAGUAAUGGCUGAGUGCUGCACUGCUUUUUGCCUUCUUUUUUUUUUCUUCUUCUUUUCAGGCGUGGUGUAGUUAAAUUUGAAAACCUCAAGCCGCUUAAAUCUCUGCAGAAUUCAUUUCCGUGGAAUGUCUCUUCCCCCGGUGGCAUAGCAGGGAGCAUGAAAAGCCGAGCUGCUGUUCUGAGCGCCUUCGCUGAGGUGAGGGGCGACGGGGGGCUCCUUCUCACACACGGCCAAAUGGCAGACAGAGAACACCAAAGGCACUUGUGGGUUUAUCGUACCUUUUUUUUUUUGACUCUGCAGGAGACGUGGGAAGCGCUCAGGAACGGAAGGCUUGGUGAAUCAUACAUGAUGCGUACAGUGAAGAUGCAAUACGGGGGGGAAGUGAGGGGACGAUAGCUUUCACGUCACGCAAACAAACGUGCACUGAAAGCAGGUAAUGGUCGUGGUGGGAGAAGGAUCCGUGCAUUCAUUCUGUACCAGCUUCGUGGCGGGAGACCAGCCCAGUGCACUUUUGGACCCAGCAAUAUAUCAAAUCUCAAUUCCGGGGCGGAUGACCCUGCUCCUCACGUUUAACGUCAUAUCAAGGCUGCUAAGAGCUGCUAAAAGUGAUGGAGUUAUUAUCUUUAUUUAAGUAUAAUUAACCUUUUUUUCGCAUUCAGUCGGAAAUGAGGGACCCUGAGGGCUGCAAAGGGUGCUCAUGGUAUUUCCAACUUUGGGCAAAAGGAGACAUGUCACAUUUGCUGACUGCAUAGAAAAGGAGUGAAGACCUUUUUUACACAGUGUUUGCUGAGGUCUAUGAAUGAAACUGAUAUUGUCCUGUAAAGUGAGACACAGCGAGAGACAAACAGUCAAAAGUACACAGGUAUUGAACACUAUUUCAUCAUCUUUUAAGUUGCUUUACAUUGUGUGAACAGAUGAAUGGCAGGAAAUUACAAUGUCUAAGAAGAAUGUUGUAAUUACUGGUUUUAGAGAAAUGCUGAAAACUUUCAACUGCAAGAUCGGAAGGAUUUGUCUGUGUUGGUCAUAGUUCUUGUUUUAACAAAAUAACAAUGUGUUUAUCAAUUACAUAUUUUUCACCGACUCAAACAUCAAACACGAACGGUAACUAAAUUAACAUCCAACAUUUUUGACAAAAAAGACUAGAAUUAGGUGUGGGUUUUAAAUAUACAAAUGUAUUUUCCAUUGAAAAAAACAUACUGACCUAUGUUCCCCAAUGUCAUUCUCAGGUGUGCACAAAUCUCCUUCCAAAUUGGUAAGUGACUCUGACACCUUUUGUUCAGUUGAGGAAUGCACAUCUGAUUCUCUGGUUUGCUGCCCAAGUGUGGUUCACAGGUUCCCCAUCUCCAAUUUGCUAAAAGGAGUAGACACAUCAAUGUGAGACCACGACAAGCCGCCAUCGAGAAAUAUGCUAAACUGUCACAAAUUCAGAGUGCACUUUUUCUCUAAAAUAUACUGUUUAAUAAACACAACAUUAUUAACGUUACUGAAACAAACGCUCCACUGUCCUGGAUUUGCACCCUUACACUGCAGCAGGGGGAAAAACAUCUGUCCUCAUUUCACAACAUGUCCGUUGGGGGCGCUGUGCAGCACAUCUGGACCAGUUGACCAUUGCCAAGAAGCUUCAAAGAGCCUGGCAUCCUUUGAUGCUGGAUUGCAUUCCCUAUAACUGCCAAGAAGCAUCGUGGUUUUGGCUUCAGUUGGCAGACCAGACACGCCAGACAAUGUAUCCAUAGCUGGGAGCUUGUGAAAGGUGGUCCCAGAAGCAGGAGGUGGCCGUCAUUGGGCCUGUUAGCUGACAUUAUUUAAUCUAUUCACAUUUAUGACUGUGCGUGUUUAGAAAUAAGGUCAAACAGCAUCGUCCCGCUGCUUUCAUUGUUUGAUUUGAACCUCUAAACAUUUAAAAUACUAUUAUGAAGUACGUUAAAUUCAUAGUUGUUGGAAGCAUUUCAUAAUUAGCUUGGAAGCUUCAGCAUUUCUUUUACUUACUUUCCGAAAACUGUUGAUCUUGUGGCUCAAGAUUUAAUUAGCAACAUAGUAGGUACACCUCACAAGGUACAGUGUUUUCACUAAUUAUUGAACUCUUUUAAUAAAGAUUUGUUUGGUGACCUAGGCACUUAUUGUAUGUGCAGUUUUAGCAGUGCGUUGUACCGAAUUGAGGAAUGUCAUCGCUUAUGAAGUCACAAUUUAUUCCCUAUUGGGGCACAGAGACUGGAAAUACAACUCUAAAGUUCACCAAUUAACACGGAUGUUGGUUGAUAUGUGAGGAAUGGAUUUUGUGCUGAGCUGCAGCUUUCCACUGUUGCGGAUCCAGUCUGCUCAGCUAAUGGACUGAUUCGUAUCUUCAUAGUCGCCAUAGACAACCGACCGGUUAGUGUGGAGGAUCCAUCUGUGGCUGGUAUGAUAGUGUGACGGAGCUCCGGUGAGGCCGAAGGCUCCUGCUAGGGUGAGCGUUGGGGUUGAUCCGUUAGGUACGAGCAAAUGCAACAAAUGCUUUAUUCGCUGAAAUGGACCCGCUGUUCUGCCUCCGUGGUGUCUGUUGCCGUUGCUUUUCGACUGGACAUAUGCAGGAUGAAUGAAUUCAUCAUUCCUUGCAGGUUGAAGCUUGUUGAAAAAAAAACAUUUGCACAGCAAUCUAUUACCUCAUCAUAGGAAAGUGACCUCAAACUGAAGGUGGGGUUCUGGCUGGUGAGGAAUACAACAGUAUUCCUCAAUCAUCUCUUUGAUGCUUUGUGUGCCGUGCAGCAUGUGACAGGCCAGCCUCACAUUGUUCCGGUCAAGCGAAUCCCUGAGAACAGCGUAAUAAUCCAUUUUUCCAGCUCUCAUACUCCCGAUGUGCGCAUGUCAUUAUGUGCUAUUGUGGGUCGUAGAGGCACGUAUUCUAUGAACCCCAGAGGAGCCACAGAGUGUUUCAGAUGAAUCACCUGGUAGGUGGCAGGGGGUUAUUACAGAAAGAAAAACACAGAUGUAAAAAAGGAGAUAAAGAAGAUUGAUGCCUCUCCAGCGAGCACACGUGUGAAAACAUGCCAAUGACUCCAUCACCUCUCCGGUCCUUUCUCGUUCUCACUCUCCAUUUUCUUCUCUCUACUUCUCGCAGUCAGCCCACUAUUUUAUGCACUUCUCCUCGCUUUACACGUGGCAUCUACUUUAAUAAUUCCCAUUUGAGAUCUCACUGCAACCCUUCAAUCAUCGCCCGCGACCAGCUUAAAAUAACACCGUGGGAAGCGAGAGAAUGGGGCUGAGUGUGUAGGAGCCCCCAUGCCGGUGUUAUUAAUUGUUUCAGAGAUGAAUAUCCCAUUACAGUCCGACUGAGGAAUGGAGAUGGAGCGGGGGGGGUUAUAGCGUGAUUAAUACGAAGUUCAUGCAAUGCAUGAUUAAUUCUGAAGUGCGAGUGGGUGUUUAAUCAAGGGCACGUGUGAUAUGAUCAAUGAUAGGGUGAAGAAAAAGAGCUGGAUGAUUAGACCCCCCCCCUUUCAGAGUGUGGAACAUAUGUCACCCGAGAUUUAGCGGGCUCAGUCGCAAUGUGGGAUUACACCGGUGGCAGAGCCGUGCGACAUAGCCGCAUAGGUUGGAUUACACAGUCGCUUUGGAAAGUCUGAAGGAUUAGGCUAUUUUGAGCUCAACCAAGUGAAAUGUGUUCCUUCCUUUUUUCAAAGAGGAUAGCGGUAUGAAUGCAGCGCAUGUGAAAGCACACCUCUGCUAUUGUAUAGAGUGUGUUGCCUGCCUGGCUCUUUAUUCCAGUACUCUUUCACAUUAAAAACUGAAUGUUUCUGUAGGGACGCAAUAGAAGAGUCACUGCGACAUGAAUGGAGGUGGAGGGCAUGGGGGGCGGAGGGGGGGGGGGGCAAUAAGGCGUUGCAUAUCAUUCCCUUCUGCGCUCUCACAGGACUAAUUAAGGAAAAUAUCAAAUUGCAAUUUAUUUUACUUGUGUGCAAAAUUUGUGACAGACAUGCCAGUUGUGGAAUGCUUUAAAAUAAAUCAAUACUAAUCUCUUCUGAUUUAAAAAAAAAAUCAUAAUUCUAACGUUUUCUAAUCAAGGGCUUGUGGAUGCAUUAUGUAGUUAAACUGUAAAAAUCCUCAGCUAAAUUUUAGAGGAGCUGCGGAGCACAACAGGCUAUUGUUAAAAUAUUGGGGCAAAAGGCAACAAAAAAGAGCUUUACUUUAAAUUGUCAAUUAAUGUUUAAAAGAACUAUACAAUGUAAACUAUGUAUACAUUCCUACUUCAAAAGUGGUCUUUUAGGUAUUGACAGCAGCCACAUAAUAAAUCCCAUAUGGUAAUAAAGACAAAUGAAUGGAUAGUAAGUAAUGCAAUUUUGACUACUUUUAACACUAUAACAAUAAUGUAUUGCACUUGAAGUUUAACUGAGAUAUUCAUCAAACUUUGUUUACUAGCCAUCUACACUCGACCCCCGUGUCGUCAUUAAUAUUUUGAACACUGUAAAACAUUUUGUAAAAUAUAUUUUAAUAUAUCAAACUUGUGGACCCCAUCAAUCAAAAUAAAAAA